AUUGGAGGGGCGUAGAAAGGAGGCCAUAUUGUACAGUUAAAUUGAAAGAACGAAAAUAAUUAUAUCAGCGUGAAGUGGGCACUAUUUAUCGUAAUAUUUUUAUCUCCUGUCUUUCAACGACGUUAGUUGAAAUUCACAGUUACAAAACAAGUAAGAGGGGCCAAUCCGUGGGCUCCUGAUAUUUUAUACAUAAGUAUAUUUUAGUAGUGUAUUUCGAUCGAGAGGCAUCGUCGGUCUAUAUUACAGGAGUUUGUUGCUGCAAGCGAAAUGGGCACUCGAGAUGACGAAUAUGAUUAUUUAUUUAAAGUUGUCCUUAUUGGUGAUUCUGGAGUAGGAAAAAGUAACCUACUAUCUCGUUUCACACGCAAUGAGUUUAAUUUGGAAUCAAAGUCUACUAUAGGUGUUGAAUUUGCAACACGCAGUAUACAAGUAGAUGGUAAAACAAUUAAAGCUCAAAUUUGGGAUACAGCUGGACAAGAACGUUAUCGAGCCAUUACCUCUGCAUACUAUCGGGGUGCAGUUGGAGCAUUGUUGGUAUAUGAUAUUGCAAAACAUUUGACAUAUGAAAAUGUUGAAAGAUGGUUACGAGAAUUACGGGACCAUGCAGACCAACAUAUUGUGAUCAUGUUAGUGGGAAACAAAUCAGACUUAAGGCAUUUACGUGCAGUUCCAACUGAUGAGGCUAAAGCAUUUGCAGAAAAAAAUGGUCUCUCAUUUAUUGAAACCUCUGCUUUAGAUUCUACUAAUGUUGAAACAGCGUUCCAAAAUAUAUUAACAGAAAUAUACAGAAUCGUAUCACAAAGACAAAUACGAGAUCCACCAGAAGGAGAUACAAUUCGACCCCAAAACGUAGAACCUAUUGAUGUCAAGCCGACCAUGAAUUCUGAUGGAAUGCGUAAACAGUGCUGUCAGUGACUUACCUUGCUGCUUAAAAUGUGUGUAUAGGCGAAUGCAAUACAAAUAUUCCAGAAAAGCAGUCUCAAGGAGGAAGAAUGGAAUAAGAUACUGAUGAUAGAUGUGGCAAGUGCAUAAUAAUUUGAAAUCUAAGACUAUGCACAAGUCCAUAAUAUCAUAUGUUUGAAGAAUUUGUAACCCCAACAACAUCAGGGUAUACUAUUCACUGAUGCUCUUAUGAGUAUAUAUUAUGCAUUCACAGAAAUAGUUAACAAAAGAAAAGCAUCACGGUUAUGUAUGAUGCAGUAAAAGUGAAUACAUAUGCAUUAUUCUGUCCUUUAAAUUUAUUUUUACCCUAUUUGUUUUCAUAUUUUUGAUCAUAUACGAGGUCUGUUCAUGUAACAGAGAGAAACAUUGAUAUUGUAUAUAUAAUUAUCGUGUAUAAUUAAAUAUAAUAUUAUUUGAUUCUUAUUAUAUAUAAAAAAUAAAAUCUCUAUUAUAUGACAAAUAUAAGAUGCAAAGAAAGAAUUUAUUUAUAAAAUAAUAUAAGAAACAUGUCCCUCAAGCUAAAAGUUAUAAAGCACUAUAUAAUUAUAAUAAAAUGAUUUAAUGAUUAUAAGUUAUUAAAAAAUAUGAGAAAGUAGUAAAAAUAGUAAUACUGUUUUUUAUCGACUAUUUUUUCUUUAAAAAAUAAUAUAACGAAAUUUAUAAUAAGACGAACUCAAAAAACUAUCUAUCUCUCAUGGAAAUUUAAAUGAAUAGUCCUCGUAUAUUAAAUUUAACAAAAAAUGCUCUGUUCUUACUCAAUUUAAGGAUAUUUCAGUCCGUUUAACAUAUAACUAUUAUUGUGAGUAUGUAAAUAAUUUAUAAUCAUUUGCUUACAAUGAAAUAAUACAGUCAAACAUAAAAUGAACUGCAAAGAAUAGUGCAUAAUAAUAGACAAAAGCUUAUAACAAAGAAAACACUAUAUAAGGAAGUAUGAAACCUGAAAUACAAAAAUUAAAUUCUAUAAAAUAUU